UACGAAGGGGGCUAGCGUUGCUCGGAAUCACUGGGCGUAAAGCGCACGUAGGCGGAUUGCUAAGUCAGGGGUGAAAUCCUGGAGCUCAACUCCAGAACUGCCUUUGAUACUGGCGAUCUCGAGUCCGGGAGAGGUGAGUGGAACUGCGAGUGUAGAGGUGAAAUUCGUAGAUAUUCGCAAGAACACCAGUGGCGAAGGCGGCUCACUGGCCCGGUACUGACGCUGAGGUGCGAAAGCGUGGGAGCAACAGG
rnacentral:rRNA from 1 species